UGACUAUCCAGAUGCAUAUACAACUUGAAAUAAAAUCUCUUCAAUAGGCUCUUUUAUUUCACUUUCAGCUGCACUAUUAAUAAAG